rnacentral:rRNA from 1 species
UACAGAGGUCUCAAGCGUUGUUCGGAUUCAUUGGGCGUAAAGGGUGCGUAGGCGGCGCGGUAAGUCGGUUGUGAAAUCUUGGAGCUUAACUCCGAAACUGCAUUCGAUACUGCCGUGCUUGAGGACUGGAGAGGAGACUGGAAUUUACGGUGUAGCGGUGAAAUGCGUAGAUAUCGUAAGGAAGACCAGUGGCGAAGGCGGGUCUCUGGACAGUUCCUGACGCUGAGGCACGAAGGUCAGGGGAGCAAACGGG